UACAGAGGGUGCAAGCGUUAAUCGGAAUUACUGGGCGUAAAGCGCGCGCAGGCGGCUCUUUAAGUCUGACGGUGAAAUGCCGGGGCUCAACCCCGUGCCCGCCGCGGAUACUGGAGGGCUGGAGACACGUAGAGGCAAGCGGAAUUCCGGGUGUAGCGGUGGAAUGCGUAGAGAUCCGGAAGAACACCGGAGGCGAAGGCGGCUUGCUGGGCGUAGUCUGACGCUGAGGCGCGAAAGCGUGGGGAGCGAACAGG
rnacentral:rRNA from 1 species